AUAUUUUCUUUCUCAAUUUUUUCAUACUAUAGCAUAGGAAACUCUCUGAAUGCAAAACAGAAUUGUAACUGCAGAGAUAAUACGACUAAUUUUUUUUAAACAAACCCAGUAAUGAAAUGAAGGCUGUUCUUCAAAGUUAUUAUGGCGGGAGGCUGCACACCCAUUCCGGCGAUUCUGCCAUUGCUCAGGGCAUCCCUUUAGGAAUAAUCGCAUUUUGUAGGGAAAACAACUUGUCAUUUUAUAGUUGAAGUUUUGAUUAAAAAUGGUAUUUUUCCAGCCUUACUGGCCUUUACACAUAUAGGAUGUGGCUUUUAAAAGACCUUUACCUCUUUCAAGCAAAUAAAAUCUAUUUUUAUCUGCUGCCACUAAAAAUAUUAAAGGAACACAGAGCAUAUUCAGACAGUCCUGAACAGGGACAGCAUCACUGUGCUAAGGACACAGCUCUCUAAGGCCAACACAGCACUCAUCUGACCUUGUUUUAGUAUUUGUCUCCCAUUUCUAAAAUGUUCACCUCGCUGAACAAGGUUAGCAAAGAAGAGUCUUCAAACUCGGACUAGCUUUAUUAGAUACCGUCUGCCACAGAUGAGCUGCAGUCUACACACGCGGGAGGUGGUGCUCUUUCCUGUUAGCAUGCCUUGCUGCAGAGGCACUCGUCACAAGAAAAUGCCAGCUCCACAACACCGAUGGCUACACUGUUGCUAGAACCGAUACGAAUACUGAUGUAGGUCUCCAGCCAUUAUCCUCUUGGUCAUGAAAUAUAUGACAGAGAUAUAUGGGAGCACGACUAAAACAGGAAACUCUGGGAAAAGCAGGUCCUAAAAUCAAGCCCAGGAAGGAAGGACUGGCCGCAGGAGUCUGUCCAAUCACCAGGAAGAGAUCCCAGCCAUCUGAGCCUGGACGCUGGGUCACCCAGCGCUUCAUGAAGACAACUACCUGCCUAGACCUGCUGCCUUGUUCUUGAGAGAUUUAGCCUCUGGGCAGUCCUAACAGUUAUGAUGUGAUGUAAGGAAGAGCUCAGUGCUCACCCAUGAGCUAAGGCAGGACCUUGACUAUUAAGGCUUAACGCACAUAGAGACAGAGAAGGACCAGGAAUUCUGAGGGGCAGCGGAAAAGAGACAAGGUGAAAGCUGCUGGCCAUCCGGGCUGGAAAAGUUCCCUGCAUAAGGGAACCAGGCUGCAGGGUGGGGGGACAAGCUCCUUCAGUGGCAGGACAUGUGACCACAAACAAAGAAUGUCUUUGAGUGAAAAACCCAAAGUUGCCUCUCUUCCUGCGUGUCACUGGGAUUUUGGCAACCACUGUAUCCGAGUGACCCUGUGAGUGGACAAGCACCUGCAUUACCACUGCAGCUCCCUAAACUAUCUCCCUGCUUACCUUCUUCCCCCUCUAACCCAUUACCCGCUCUGCAGGCAGAAACACCCUUUUAAAAAUGUAAAUCUGAUCACCAGAGCUAAGAUUUUGUUUUUACUCAGACAGACACGACAUAAAGCAACUUGUUUACUCCUUAAACAAACUUAUGAAGUAGAAAGAACUAUUAUCCCUGUUUUAUAGAUGAAAAUUGGAGGCACAGAGAAGUUAUCCACUUCGGUGGGCGCUCACCAGCGGACGCCUCGCCCACAGCCGCACCCGGCGGCCCAGCGCUGUGCGCCGCGCAUGCGCCACCAGGCCGUCUGCUCUCUGUGCUGCGGAAGCGGGAAAGCACUGAAGCUUGUUUUACUUUACAGGCAGCUUUACUUGUCAUGUAAAUCAGAACAGCUGGAAGCUCCCUGCAGCCCUCACGGGAAGCAGAUGCUGGCGUGACGCUUCCUGUACCGCCUGCAGAACUGCGAGUUGAAUGACCUCCUUGCUCUAUCAGUUACCCAGCCGCGGGCAUCCCUUUGCCGAAGCAAAAUGGACGAGCACAUCCAGGAUGAGCGUCCACCUCUUUGGUGCCUUCAGAUGAAUUCCCAUUCCCACCGUGGCUCUCAGCUCGACUCCCGUCACUGGGCAGUCAGGACCUUCUCCCGGUGAGACGAUCCCACGCAGACCCCGCUCCCAUCUAGAGCUCUGCAGCCCAGCCAGGGCACUGCUGGCCGCAUGCGGCUGUCAAGCAUUUGAAACGUGGCUGGCCCAAAUGCAAUGAGUUGUGAGUGUAAGAUACACUGGACUUUGAAAACUUAGGAUAAAAACAAGAAUGUAAAAUGCCUCAUUAAUAAUUUUUAAACUGAUUACACGUUGCAAUGAUAAUGUUUGGGAUAUACUGGCUUAAAAAUAAUUAAAAUAAAUUUUACUUGUUCUUUUUGCUUUCUUUUUUUUUC